rnacentral:rRNA from 1 species
UAGGGAAUCUUGGACAAUGGGCGAAAGCCUGAUCCAGCCAUGCCGCGUGGAUGAUGAAGGCCUUCGGGUCGUAAAGUCCUUUUCUAAGGGAAGAACAGCAGAGGGAGGAAAUGUCCUUUGUUUGACGGUACCUUAGGAAUAAGCAACGGCUAACUCCGUGCCAGCAGCCGCGGUAAUACGGAGGUUGCAAGCGUUGUUCGGAAUAACUGGGCGUAAAGGGAGCGCAGGCGGUUCGGUUAGUCUGAAGUGAAAUCCCAGAGCUCAACUCUGGACCUGCUUCGGAUACUGCCGAGCUUGAGUACGUGAGAGGAGAGUGGAAUUCCAGGUGUAGCGGUGAAAUGCGUAGAUAUCUGGAGGAACACCAGUGGCGAAAGCGGCUCUCUGGCACGUUACUGACGCUGAGGCUCGAAAGCGUGGGGAGCAAACG